rnacentral:rRNA from 1 species
UACGUAGGGUGCAAGCGUUUGUCCGGAAUUAUUGGGCGUAAAGAGCUCGUAGGCGGUUUGUUGCGUCGGCUGUGAAAUCCCGAGGCUCAACCUCGGGUCUGCAGUCGAUACGAGCAAACUAGAGUGUUGCAGGGGGAGACUGGAAUUCCUGGUGUAGCGGUGAAAUGCGCAGAUAUCAGGAGGAACACCGGUGGCGAAGGCGGGUCUCUGGGCAACAACUGACGUGGAGGAGCGGAAAGCGUGGGGAGCGAACAGG